AUUCUUUGACAUUAAAACUUUGAGCUUUCUCUCACGAGCCUCUUGAUUCUUCUCAUUAAAUCCAAUUUCCUCCAACAUUAGCAAGGCCUUCUGCUGAGCAACAGUAACCCUAUUCAUAUUUUUCAGUACUUCAUCCUCAUCUAGCUUUAAAAGCUCCAUUUCUUUUUUCAUUUUGCUCUCAAAUUCAUAUACAUAGGGCACAUCUUGUUCUGUUACAAAAGUAAGAGAAAUACCUGUUUUAUUCGCACGGCCAACCCUACCAAUUCUAUGGAUAUAAUCUUCAAAAGAUCUUGGAAAAUCAUAAUUAAUGACAAACUCUACAUCAGGUAUAUCCAAACCUCUUGCAGCAACACCGGUGGCAACUAAUAACUUGCUCGUUUUACUCCUAAACUUUCCAAGAGAAGCAAGCCUUCUUCUUUGAUUCAUCAAACUAUGUAAUCCUGUAACAGAGUAUCCCAUUAUUUCUAGGCAGCUUGUUAGCAUUUGACAUUGUUGUUUUGUAGCAGUGAAAAUUAUUCCUUGUUUU
rnacentral:antisense_RNA from 1 species